rnacentral:rRNA from 1 species
CGUAGGGGGCAAGCGUUGUCCGGAAUCAUUGGGCGUAAAGCGCGUGUAGGCGGCCAGAUAAGUCCGCUGUGAAAUCUCGAGGCUCAACUUCGAGCUGUCGGUGGAAACUGUCUGGCUAGAGUCCGGAAGAGGAGAAUGGAAUUCCUGGUGUAGCGGUGAAAUGCGCAGAUAUCAGGAAGAACACCCGUGGCGAAGGCGGUUCUCUGGGACGGUACUGACGCUGAGACGCGAAAGCGUGGGGAGCGAACAGGAUUAGAUACCCUGGUAGUCCACGCCGUAAACGAUGGGAACUAGGUGUGGGGGGGUGUCGACUCCCUCCGUGCCGAAACUAACGCAUUAAGUUCCCCGCCUGGGGAGUACGGCCGCAAGGCUA